CACGUAGGAGGCGAGCGUUGUCCGGAAUCAUUGGGCGUAAAGAGCGCGCAGGCGGCUUGGCAAGUCGGGUGUGAAAUCCCGGGGCUCAACCCCGUGACUGCAUCCGAUACUGUCAGGCUAGAGGUAGGUAGGGGAGAUCGGAAUUCCUGGUGUAGCGGUGAAAUGCGCAGAUAUCUGGAGGAACACCGGUGGCGAAGGCGGCAUCCUGGACCGGUAUUGACGCUGAGGCGCGAAAGCCAGGGGAGCAAACGGG
rnacentral:rRNA from 1 species